GACGAACGCUGGCGGCGUGCUUAACACAUGCAAGUCGAACGGAAAGGCCCUGCUUUUGUGGGGUGCUCGAGUGGCGAACGGAUGAGUAACACGUGAGUAACCUGCCCUUGACUUUGGGAUAACUUCAGGAAACUGGGGCUAAUACCGGAUAGGAGCUCCUGCUGCAUGGUGGGGGUUGGAAAGUUUCGGCGGUUGGGGAUGGACUCGCGGCUUAUCAGCUUGUUGGUGGGGUAGUGGCUUACCAAGGCUUUGACGGGUAGCCGGCCUGAGAGGGUGACCGGCCACAUUGGGACUGAGAGACGGCCCAGACUCCUACGGGAGGCAGCAGUGGGGAAUAUUGCACAAUGGGCGGAAGCCUGAUGCAGCAACGCCGCGUGCGGGAUGACGGCCUUCGGGUUGUAAACCGCUUUCGCCUGUGACGAAGCGUGAGUGACGGUAAUGGGUAAAGAAGCACCGGCUAACUACGUG
rnacentral:rRNA from 1 species